rnacentral:rRNA from 1 species
GACGAACGCUGGCGGCGUGCUUAACACAUGCAAGUCGAACGAGUGGCGAACGGGUGAGUAACACGUGGGUGAUCUGCCUUGCACUUCGGGAAACGCCUGGGAAACUGGGUUUAUUCCCGGAUAGCCCAAGAUGAGCUCGCGGCCUAUCAGCUUGUUGGUGGGGUAAUGGCUACCAAGGCGCGACGGGUAGCCGGCCUGAGAGGGUGUACGGCCACAUUAGGACUGAGAUACGGCCCAGACUGCUACGGGAGGCAGCAGUGGGGAAGAUUGCACAAUGGACGGAAGCCUGAUGCAGCGACGCCGGGUGGGGGGUGAAGGUCUUCGGGUUGUAAACUCCUUACGACAGGGACGCGGUACCGGUAUAAGAAGCACCUGCUAACGACGUGCCAGCAGCCGCGGUAAUAC